rnacentral:rRNA from 1 species
GAUGAACGCUGGCGGCGUGCCUAAUACAUGCAAGUCGAGCGAACGGACGAGAAGCUUGCUUCUCUGAUGUUAGCGGCGGACGGGUGAGUAACACGUGGAUAACCUACCUAUAAGACUGGGAUAACUUCGAGAAACCGGAGCUAAUACCGGAUAAUAUUUUGAACCGCAUGGUUCAAAAGUGAAAGACGGUCUUGCUGUCACUUAUAGAUGGAUCCGCGCUGCAUUAGCUAGUUGGUAAGGUAACGGCUUACCAAGGCAACGAUGCAUAGCCGACCUGAGAGGGUGAUCGGCCACACCGGAACUGAGACACGGUCCAGACUCCUACGGGAGGCAGCAGUAGGGAAUCUUCCGCAAUGGGCGAAAGCCUGACGGAGCAACGCCGCGUGAGUGAUGAAGGUCUUCGGAUCGUAAAACUCUGUUAUUAGGGAAGAACAUAUGUGUAAGUAACUGUGCACAUCUUGACGGUACCUAAUCAGAAAGCCACGGCUAACUACGUGCCAGCAGCCGCGGUAAUACGUAGGUGGCAAGCGUUAUCCGGAAUUAUUGGGCGUAAAGCGCGCGUAGGCGGUUUUUUAAGUCUGAUGUGAAAGCCCACGGCUCAACCGUGGAGGGUCAUUGGAAACUGGAAAACUUGAGUGCAGAAGAGGAAAGUGGAAUUCCAUGUGUAGCGGUGAAAUGCGCAGAGAUAUGGAGGAACACCAGUGGCGAAGGCGACUUUCUGGUCUGUAACUGACGCUGAUGUGCGAAAGCGUGGGGAUCAAACAGGAUUAGAUACCCUGGUAGUCCACGCCGUAAACGAUGAGUGCUAAGUGUUAGGGGGUUUCCGCCCCUUAGUGCUGCAGCUAACGCAUUAAGCACUCCGCCUGGGGAGUACGACCGCAAGGUUGAAACUCAAAGGAAUUGACGGGGACCCGCACAAGCGGUGGAGCAUGUGGUUUAAUUCGAAGCAACGCGAAGAACCUUACCAAAUCUUGACAUCCUUUGACAACUCUAGAGAUAGAGCUUUCCCCUUCGGGGGACAAAGUGACAGGUGGUGCAUGGUUGUCGUCAGCUCGUGUCGUGAGAUGUUGGGUUAAGUCCCGCAACGAGCGCAACCCUUAAGCUUAGUUGCCAUCAUUAAGUUGGGCACUCUAAGUUGACUGCCGGUGACAAACCGGAGGAAGGUGGGGAUGACGUCAAAUCAUCAUGCCCCUUAUGAUUUGGGCUACACACGUGCUACAAUGGACAAUACAAAGGGCAGCGAAACCGCGAGGUCAAGCAAAUCCCAUAAAGUUGUUCUCAGUUCGGAUUGUAGUCUGCAACUCGACUACAUGAAGCUGGAAUCGCUAGUAAUCGUAGAUCAGCAUGCUACGGUGAAUACGUUCCCGGGUCU